UUGUGGCCCAAAUGAGCGGAGAGGAGAAGGCUUGGGUAGGAACGGCGACAUGAGAGCUUGGGAGCGAUUUUCGGCGGUCGUUCGUGGAGUAGCUUGUAGGGAAAACUAAAGAAAUGCUAAGAUAUUGAACGUGUGGAGGGAAGGCUUUGAUUGGACAACCAGAAGUGGUGCACAAGUUGAGAUUCAUUAGUCGGUGGGACUUUGCUGCCUUAGGCUCUCCACAGCUGCUUUUGGGUUCAGGCUACUACAAGAAGAUGAUCAGAGCUUCAGCCAGUUUACUGCUUCAGGAGACUUCAGUUUUGGUUUCGAGAGGAGCGAGAUACUUGUUCGUGAGCCACCUCAGGAGACCACUGUUUCAGGUCCUAGAAGUGCAGAAUACCUGGACUUUGGAAAGAGAAGAAUGUGGACUUCCUCUUCAGAUGUAGUUUAGGAGACAGAUUUUAGUCCUCUACGAAGGACAUUGUACUUUUUCUUUUCUUUCAGCUGAUAUAAUCUUGUAAAAAGAUCUAGUCCGCAAAUUUGUAUAUGAAUUCUAAACUUAAUAAAAUAAAGUGAUUUUAUAAAUUCAGUUGUUGACGAGCUCUCUUUUUACUGCCCUUGAGACUUUUGUGGUUGUACUCUGACUUGUGCUCAUAGUAUUUUAAAUAUUUAUUUGGGGAUCUCGGCAUGCAGCGCGAUGUCGACCCAAAUAAAUAUUUAAAAUGCCUCCAGUCUUUAGGGACAUUUGUAGAUAUUAUUCGGGAUGCUUCUUUUCGUAGUUUUAGACUGAGCCACGAGAUUCUAG